CGGAGUAUAGCGCAGUCUGGCUAGCGCACACCCUUGGGGUGGGUGAGGUCGUGGGUUCAAGUCCCGCUACUCCGACCA
rnacentral:tRNA from 2 species